rnacentral:rRNA from 1 species
AAAGCUGGCGUCUUCGGCGUCCGCAUUGUAAUCUCAAGAAGUGUUUUCCGCUUCGGACCAUGCCUAAGUCCCUUGGAAAAGGGCAUCAUAGAGGGUGAUAAUCCCGUACAUGGCAUGGAGCGCCCGAAGCUUUGUGAUACGCUUUCUAAGAGUCGAGUUGUUUGGGAAUGCAGCUCAAAAUGGGUGGUAAAUGCCAUCUAAGGCUAAAUAUUGGGGAGAGACCGAUAGCGAACAAGUACAGUGAUGGAAAGAUGAAAAGAACUUUGAAAAGAGAGUUAAACAGUACGUGAAAUUGCCAAAAGGGAAGGGUAGGAGGUCAGAGAUGCGGCCUAGGAUUCAGCCUUGCUUUUGCUUGGUGUUUUUCCUAGAUUGCAGGCCAACGUCGGUUUUGGGCACUGGAGAAUGGUGGAAGGAAUGUGGCACCUCUCGGGGUGUGUUAUAGCCUUCUACUGGAUACAGCGACCGAGACCGAGGACAGCAGCGUACUCGCAAGAGCGGGCCUUCGGGCACCUUUACGCUUAGGGCGUUGGCAUAAUGGCCCUCUACCACCCGUCUUGAA